GGAAAGGCAGCAGAACACAACAGACACUAGUAUGGCAAUAUGUAAAUCAAUGGAUGUGUAACUGAUGUGAUUCUGCAAUCUGUAUAUGGGGUAAAAAUGGGAGUUCAUAACCCACUUGAAUCAAAGUGUGAAAUAUGAUAUAUCAAGAAAUUUGUAAUGUUUUGAACAACCAACAAUAAAAAAAAUUUAAAAAAACCUGUAAGAAAAAAUAAAAUAAAAUAAAAUACCAGAUAGGAUUUAUGCUUUGUAGGCUACAUGCAACUCUGUAUUCCUCUUAUUUUCUUUACAUACCUUUGAAAAUGUAAAAAACAAUUAUCCUGCAAGUCAUAAAAAGCAGGUUGGAUGCCCAUGGGUUAGACUAUUUUGAACCAAGAAGAUCCCAGUUGAAGUGGCUUAACAUGUAAAAGGUUUAUUCUUGCUCACAUCACUGUCCAGUGCAGGUCAGUGGCCCUCCAGAGCAGCUUUAAUCUGUGUGGUAACUUAGGGAUACAGGAUGCCUUCAUCUUCUCAGGUCACCAUCUAUGCCAUCCCGAUUUUUUUUUUUUUUUGUACUGUAGAUUGAACUCAGGGACAGUUAACCACUGAGCCACAUCCCCAGCCCUAUUUUGUAUUUUAUUUAGAGACAGGAUCUCACUGAAUUGCUUAGCACCUUAGCUGUGAACUCCCAAUCUUCCUGCCUCAGCCUCCUGAGCCACUGGGAUUACAGGCAUGUGCUACCAUGCCCAGCUCCCAGCCCAUUCUUUUUUUUAUUCUUAGAUUUAUUUUCCAAAAUGCAAUUUAUAUGUUCUUAUAUGUAAAAAGCAACCUUAAUUACAACAUGAAAUAACCAUAUUAUUUGCUUUCUCCAGUUACAAAUACAUAUAAAUCUAUUAAAUGUAAUGUUAGAUGUAUGCUUUCUCUCUAUUAUGUGAUUGCUCCUCUCUUUUAAAGGUACAGGCCUUAAGGACAAGAUGGGCUCCUGGAGGCAAGUGUGUGGGGUGAACCCUAUGGACUGACUUCAGUGCCUACUGUGGGCACUGACCCUGAUCUGACCCCUGCCACUCAGCAGUGCACCUGGGGAACAUCUAGCAUGCCAAGUCCUCAUCUAGAGAGAUGCCCCAGGUUGGCAUUUUUGAAGUUCCUAAUGGGGACUUAGAGCUCAGAAUUGUGGCCACAGCAGAAGUUUUGGAAAUGCUUCUCUGUUCUUCUCCAUGUCUUGCAUGUCUAGGAACUAUCGCCAAAUCCACUUCUCUUGAUCCUCCUGGGACAGCAUAGUGAUCCAAGUUGAAUUGGGGCAAAUACUCGGUUCUCAAAUUCAAUAGAUGUGGAGGUAUGUUAAGUCUGUCUAAUGUCUAUAAGAAUUUAGUUUAGUAAUUACGUCAGAAUAUUUUUCUGCUCUCUUUAAAAGGUUUAUUUUAUUUUUUUGAGAGAUAGAGAGAGAGAGAGAGAGAGAAUUUUAGUAUUUAUUUUUUAUUUAUCAGCAGGCACAACAUCUUUGUUUGUAUGUGGUGCUGAGGAUCGAACCCGGGCUGCGCGCAUGCCAGGUGAGCGCGCUACCGCUUGAGCCACAUCCCCAGCCCACUUUAAAAGGUUUAUAUGGAAUAAGGAGAAACUAUUCUAAAGGGUAGGGAAGGUUUUUCCACAUCAAGGAUUUGUACAUCUGUCUGCAGGUUUUGUUUGGGGACUUCAUGGUGCCUAGAAUCUGAGCCCUGGAAUGAGCCGUCAGAGACAAAGCAUGCACAGAAACCCUCUUAACUGCAAAGCUUGCCUAGGCUAUUUACUCUCUAAAUAUAUCUAAACAACAUAAGAAGACCAUGGAUCUAUAACUGAAGUAUUAAGCCCCUGCAGAUAGAAACAAUUCUUAACCAAUAGAUUAAGCAUUUAAAUUAUUAGCAAACGAUAAAACAACAACAAAAGAAACAUAACAAAAAUAUAAAAAGGAAACACAUAAUUCUCUCAACCUUCCCUGUCUCUGUUCCUCACCAAAGGAACAUUGAUCUGGGUAUAAAAAUCCAAACAAAGGGGCUGGGUUGUGGCUCAGCAGUAGAGCACUUGCCUACCAUGUGCAAGGCCCUGGGUUUGAUCCUCAGCACCACAUAAAAAUAAAUAAAUAGAAUAAAGGUAUUAAAAAAAUCCAAACAACAUUCUUUCUUUGCUUUUUAGUUGGAAGUGACUGUGGAAAUGGUGGUUCCCACUCUUAUUUUAUAUUUUGAGACAUGGUCUUGCUAAGUUACUUAGGACCUCACUAAGUUGUUGAGGCUGUCUUUGAACUUGAGAUCCUCCUGCCUCAGUCUUCUGAGUUGCUGGGAUUACAGGUGUAUACUAUCAAUACUGGUUUACACAACUAUUUAAAGUAUUAUGUCAUAUCUGUUAUGUUUUCUUAGUUAGUAUUCAAAUAGCCUCACAUUAACAGCAGAGGAGUUGAGCCAAAGUAGUUUCCUGUAUGUCUGGGAAGAGGAAAUGGCAUACAAAAACACAGGAAUGUCUUUCCCCCAGAUUAAAGAAAAGUUAAGACAUGGUCCUUGUCUUAUAGGACCUAGUAUCAAGCUGGGACAAAGGAUGGGCAUGAAUGAAACAUCAAAUAACAAAGAACAACUUCAAAUUCUGUGUCAGAGUUCUGACAAAAGUCAAAACAAAAGACUAUAGAAAUUCACAGGACCAAGAGACCAGACUGGGCCCAUGUAGUUGGCUAAAACUUUAUGGAGAAGAUAGAACUGGAAUUUGAUUUUGAAGCACUGGCAAGACUUAGCCAGAGGGAGAAAGAUGGGAAAUGUUUUUUAGGAAGGGGAAGUAGCAUAAACAAAUUGUCACAACUGGAGAAGGCCAGGGCGUCCAAAGUGUUUGCACUGGUGGAGUUCAGGCACUGAUCCAUCCUAAUGCCUGCUGUCCUGGCAGAAGAUCUCAGUGGUUGGCUUUGGGAGAGGUUCUUGUGCAGGGACUGGGGUAGAGGUAGGGCUGUAAGGCAGGGUGGAGGAGACAGCUUCCUAGCAUUUUACCCCAUUCACUGCAUGCUGAGGUGUCUCAGUGUUUUAACAACCAGAAUGGCUUCAUCAGUGCAUGUAAGCUAAACAUCUGCCCUGCAUCGGAGACUUAUGGAAACAGAGGAUGGAAAGACAAGUUGGAAUUAAAUUGGGAAGGUCUCUGAUUGCAAGGGUGUUUGGAAUAUCCAAAGCAGAGAUUGACAUUAUUUAUUUUCAGAGAUAAAGCCUAGAGCACCCUAUAUAAUAAAUAUCCAAUAAUGAAUGGUUAAAUAUAAAUAGUGAACCCAUAUAAUGGAAUUGUCUGUGAUCAUUAAGAUCCAGUUUCUGAAGACUUUUAACAACAUGGAAUGAUAUGUAUAAACUAGAAAACUAGAGAAACUAGAACAAAAAAACUAGAGAAGAAAACUAGAGUAUAAUACCAAUUUAGUAAUAAAAAUAUUAAGACUAAAAUAACAUCAAACAUAGUGGUUAUUUAAAAAUUAAUUUAAAUUGACAAAAAUAAUAUAUAUUUGUCAUGUAUGUUUUAAAAUAUAUAUAAUUAGUAUUUAUUUUUGGAUGGUAGUAUUACAUUGAUUUUUCUUUUCAUCAUUAAAUUUUCCUAUGUUUUGAAUUUUUAUAUAAUAAACCCAUAUGACUUAUAAUAAUUACUCCUCAAAAGAAAGUUUAACAUGUGGCAUGUGGCACAGUGGUGGCGGUGACUACAAUUUUCUCUUUCUUUUGUAGGUAAAUUCCAGUCUCAUUUCGGCAGUGCCCAAGAACUAAGUACCUACAUGAGUCAGUCCACAGUGGCUGAGCAUCAUCUAUCCCUGGGAUAUCAGGCUCAGUUUGCCACUGAGCAGACAACUGGAAAGCCCACCUUGUUUGUCAUCCUAUAUAGGUGAACUUGUAAUUCCAGCAACUCAACUCACAGAGUGAAUACUGAUCCAGAAAAUUGCACAGCCACCCUGGGCUUGAGCCACUGACUUGUGGGGUAUCAAGGAUUGGUCACAGAACAGUGAGAACCCAUACAGACAUGGCAUCUCAUUUCACAGACCGGAAAACCAGAAAGAGGAAGGCACUUACCCAAGGUCACACAGUGAGUAACUAUAAGUAGGGACUUGAACCUGGUCUUUGUCCUAUGCUAUGUCUUCAUCUAUCACAGUGUACCUUAGACAACUGACUUCCCUGGAUUCUGUUCAAAUCCCUCUUUUGCCUAGGUUCUAUAAGUCAGAUGUGGUUUGGAAUUAAAUUCACAGAAUCACUGCUAUUUCAUGGCUCUUCAGUUUUGUGGCUCCCUAGGUCUUCUGACAAAAUUCUGUCCUUCUUUAAAUCCAAUAUGUAAUGAAAACAUUGGCCAAAAUAUCUUCUGAAAAUAAUCUGGCAGUUCCUUAGAAAGUUAAAUGUAUACCCACUAAUUCUAUUCCUGGGAAAAUACCCAAGAGAAUUGGAAAAUAUAUGUCCACACAAAAACAUGAACUCAAAUGUUCAACAGCUUUACCCAUAUCAGCAAAAGAGUGGAAACAAUGAAAAUGUCCAUCAGCUGAUGACUGGAUAAACAAAAUGUGCUAUAUCUGUACAAUGGGAUAUUUUUUGUUAAUAAUCAAAAGUAAUGAAGAACCAGUUCUUGCUACAACAUGGAUGACCCUGGAAAACACCAUGCUAAGUGAAAUAAGCCCAUUACCAGAGACCACAUAUCAUAUGAUUCCAUUUAUAUGAAAUGCCCAGAGUAGGCAAAUUCAGAGAGACAAAAGUAGAUUAGUGGUUUCCAGAGACUUGGGGAUAAGGAAUGGGAGGUAAUGGAUGUAGGGUUAUUUUAUUGGGUAAUGAACAUGUUCUAGAAUUAGAUAGUGGUGAUCAUUGCAUAAUUGUGAAUAUACUAAAAAACGCUGUGUACACUUUACAAUGUUAUGGUAUGUAAAUUUAAAUUAUAUCUUUCAAAAAGAUUGUCUCUGAUUAGAACCCAAGAAAAAUGAAAUUGGAGGAAAUCUGAAAUGAGAAAAGUGUUAUAAGGUGAAGACCUAUGAUUCGACCAGACUUUUGGGCCUAAAAGAACAUGUAUAAGCAGGUCUUCUGGUAUUCUCAAAACUGCCUUAUGAAGAAGCUACUCAGGCCAGGCGUGGUGGUAUGUGCCUAUAUCCCACUGAUUGGGGAGACUGAGGCAGGAGAAUUGAGAGUUUGAGGCCAACCUCAGCAAUUUAGUGAGACCCUCAGAGACUCUGUCCAAAAACAAACAAACAAACAAACAAACAAACAAAAACAGGAGUGGGGACUGAUGUAGCUCAGGGGUGAAGCACCCCAGGGUUUAAUCCCAAGUGCCCCUGCCCCAAGUAGCUACUCAGGUAGUAACUAGAAUCACCGCUCUUCUAUUAACUAGAAACAUGAUCCUUAAAUAUCUUAAAUCUUAUCAUUCCAAUUUCUUCAUUAACA
rnacentral:lncRNA from 1 species